CUUAACCACUCGGCCACGGGGCCAGCCCCUGUAGUAUCCUUUGUUAAGAGUAGGAAGGUUAUCAUUGUUUCCAAUCUUCUCAUCACUAUAGUUUUUAAUGGGAAUUUUUUUCUUCAUGCCUGUUUUAAAGACUGUGAAAGAAGCUCUGGAAAGCCCAACAUUGCUUUAGGGUUUAGUAAAUAUUCAAACUCAUUGCAAAUGAGAUAAAACUGGACAGUAGAAAAGUAAUAUGAAGCUAUUACUCAAAUAUUUCAUCAGUUAAGAUUAGUUGAUUGACAAAUUGUUUGUGAAGUAAUGCACUUGUAAGAACAGCUCCAGGAGCUGUCACUUUCUCUGCAGCAUCAUCUGAUAGAAAGUGUUAAGGAUAUGUAGGAAGCAGAAGCAUUACUACUUUUUGCUUUUUUAUCUUGACAUGGCCUUCCCUCUAGGAUUAAUUAUCUUUCUUUUUGUAUUGUAGGUUUUAUCUCAGUUGCUUUCACUUCCAGGGUAGCCUUCCCAGAAUGAAUAGAAGAAUAAGCGUACAGAGACAAUGCAAGAAACAGAAGACAAGGACAUGCCAUCACCUUUGUGCUUUUAGACAAAUUCCCUUGAACAAUCUGACCCUCAAGUGAUGCUCCCGCUGUUCUCAUUGCCAGAGAGGGCUCUAUGACCCACUCCUCCCACUGUGAACUACUUCGUUUUAUUUUCUACCUUCCUGAAAUUGAACUUGAAUUGCCAUCAUCCUCCUGUGGAUUAUUUCCUAUGUGUCAGCCACUAUUGAG